UACGAAGGGGCUAGCGUUGUUCGGAAUCACUGGGCGUAAAGCGCACGUAGGCGGACUUUAAGUCAGGGGUGAAAUCCCGGGGCUCAACCCCGGAACUGCCUUUGAUACUGGAAGUCUUGAGUCCGAGAGAGGUGAGUGGAACUCCGAGUGUAGAGGUGAAAUUCGUAGAUAUUCGGAAGAACACCAGUGGCGAAGGCGGCUCACUGGCUCGGUACUGACGCUGAGGUGCGAAAGCGUGGGGAGCAAACAGG
rnacentral:rRNA from 1 species